GAGGGCGAACGGGUGAGUAAUACAUCGGAACAUGUCCUGUAGUGGGGGAUAGCCCGGCGAAAGCCGGAUUAAUACCGCAUACGAUCCACGGAUGAAAGCGGGGGACCUUCGGGCCUCGCGCUAUAGGGUUGGCCGAUGGCUGAUUAGCUAGUUGGUGGGGUAAAGGCCUACCAAGGCGACGAUCAGUAGCUGGUCUGAGAGGACGACCAGCCACACUGGGACUGAGACACGGCCCAGACUCCUACGGGAGGCAGCAGUGGGGAAUUUUGGACAAUGGGGGAAAGCCUGAUCCAGCAAUGCCGCGUGUGUGAAGAAGGCCUUCGGGUUGUAAAGCACUUUUGUCCGGAAAGAAAUCCAUGGUUCUAAUACAGCCGGGGGAUGACGGUACCGGCAGAAUAAGCACCGGCUAACUACGUGCCAGCAGCCGCGGUAAUACGUAGGGUGCGAGCGUUAAUCGGAAUUACUGGGCGUAAAGCGUGCGCAGGCGGUGUGCUAAGACCGAUGUGAAAUCCCCGGGCUCAACCUGGGAACUGCAUUGGUGACUGGCAGGCUAGAGUAUGGCAGAGGGGGGUAGAAUUCCAAGUGUAGCAGUGAAAUGCGUAGAGAUGUGGAGGAAUACCGAUGGCGAAGGCAGCCCCCUGGGCCAAUACUGACGCUCAUCCUAAA
rnacentral:rRNA from 1 species